AUGCUCAUUUUGGCAGCAUAUAGACUAAAAUUGGAAUGAUACAGUGAAGAGUAACAUGGCCUCUGCAUAGAAUGAAACACAAAUCUGUGAAGCAUUCCAUAAUUUU
ensembl:snRNA U6 U6 spliceosomal RNA